UACAGAGGGUGCAAGCGUUGUUCGGAAUUACUGGGCGUAAAGCGCGUGUAGGCUGCGAUGUAAGUCGGACGUGAAAGCCCUUGGCUUAACCAUGGAAUUGCAUUCGAAACUGGAGAGCUUGAGUGUGGGAGAGAUUGGUAGAAUACCUGGUGUAGUGGUGAAAUACGUAGAUAUCAGGUGGAAUACCGGUGGCGAAGGCGGCCAAUUGGCCCGACACUGACGCUGAGAUACGAAAGCGUGGGGAUCAAACAGG
rnacentral:rRNA from 1 species